rnacentral:hammerhead_ribozyme from 1 species
AUCCAGUUGAGGAAUCCAAAAUAGGACGAAACAAGUGUCAUGAAU